rnacentral:rRNA from 1 species
GUAACACGUGGAUAACCUACCUAUAAGACUGGGAUAACUUCGGGAAACCGGAGCUAAUACCGGAUAAUAUAUUGAACCGCAUGGUUCAAUAGUGAAAGACGGUUUUGCUGUCACUUAUAGAUGGAUCCGCGCCGCAUUAGCUAGUUGGUAAGGUAACGGCUUACCAAGGCGACGAUGCGUAGCCGACCUGAGAGGGUGAUCGGCCACACUGGAACUGAGACACGGUCCAG